CGCCGAGAUGGGAUCAUUGCUCAGUGCAUUCCCGGGGAACUAAUAAACAAUCCUUAUAUUCCCGGUGUAUCGAAUUCCUGAUGCACACGACUACGUUGUUACUGUGAUAAAUACCUGUGUACAACACACUGCGCGUUAAGUCAAGAGAGGGCCGCAAUAAAAGUAUCAAUGCCUCGUACUCCCUCGCCACCUGCCCUUGGAUCCUGCUGGAUCGGGACCAUUUUCUCUCCGCGCGUCGAUGCUCUUGGGAGAAGAGCACGUGCAUUCUCGCAAGGUCGACGUGCAACGUCUGUCGCUGCUGUUGCUGCCGCAUCGGGCUGCCUAAAGCGAGCAAUAAAAGGGUGCACCGAGCGCGUGCAGCGCAAACUCCGGCGCACAAAUCAAAAAGUAAUGGCUAGUUAGUCGCGUUCAGCACGUAAACGCACCUCGUGGAUGACCGAGGGCGGAUGUUUAACCCCGUGGCCGGGGCCGAUUAGCCAGCAAAUUGGACGCGCCUGGUCUCUUCUCGCCGCGCCGGUUGCGCGAGGAAAGUUGUGAGUGUGUCGAUGAUGCUGAGAAUGUCGAUCAACCAUAAUAGAUUAGGGUGUAAGUGCAAUAUAGUAUCACGACUGGAUGGAAAAUUUGUCCACCCUUAAAGACCAAUCUUUU